CCCUUAGAUGUUCUGGGCCGCACGCGCGCUACACUGAUGCAUUCAACGAGUCUACAACCUGGUCUGAUAGGGCUGGGUAAUCUUUUGAAUGUGCAUCGUGAUUGGGAUAGAUGAUUGCAAUUCUUCAUCUUCAACGAGGAAUGCCUAGUAAACGCAAGUCAUCAGCUUGCAUUGAUUACGUCCCUGCCCUUUGUACACACCGCCCGUCGCUCCUACCGAUUGAAUGGUCCGGUGAAAUCUUGGGAUUUUGUUUUGUUUGCAUUUAUUUGUAUCGAGACGAGUGAACUUGAGUAAACCUUACCAUUUAGAGGAAGGUGAAGUCGUAACA
rnacentral:rRNA from 1 species